rnacentral:rRNA from 1 species
GAUGAACGCUAGCGGCAGGCUUAAUACAUGCAAGUCGAGGGGCAGCGCAGUGUAGCAAUACAUGGGCGGCGACCGGCAAACGGGUGCGGAACACGUACGCAACCUUCCUUUAAGUGGGGGAUAGCCCAGGGAAACUUGGAUUAAUACCCCGUAAUAUUAUGAAGUGGCAUCACUUUAUACUUAUAGCUCCGGCGCUUAAAGAUGGGCGUGCGACUGAUUAGGUAGUUGGCGGGGUAACGGCCCACCAAGCCUGCGAUCAGUAACUGGUGUGAGAGCACGACCAGUCACACGGGCACUGAGACACGGGCCCGACUCCUACGGGAGGCAGCAGUAAGGAAUAUUGGUCAAUGGACGCAAGUCUGACCCAGCCAUGCCGCGUGGAGGAUGAAGGUCCUCUGGAUUGUAAACUUCUUUUAUUUGGGAAGAAACCCGGAUUUUCUAAUUCGGUUGACGGUACCAGAUGAAUAAGCACCGGCUAACUCCGUGCCAGCAGCCGCCGUAAUAC